rnacentral:rRNA from 1 species
UGGGGAAUAUUGCACAAUGGGCGAAAGCCUGAUGCAGCGACGCCGCGUGAGGGAUGACGGCCUUCGGGUUGUAAACCUCUUUCAGUAGGGACGAAGCGCAAGUGACGGUACCUGCAGAAGAAGCACCGGCUAACUACGUGCCAGCAGCCGCGGUAAUACGUAGGGUGCGAGCGUUGUCCGGAAUUACUGGGCGUAAAGAGCUCGUAGGCGGUUUGUCACGUCGUCUGUGAAAUCCUAGGGCUUAACCCUGGACGUGCAGGCGAUACGGGCUGACUUGAGUACUACAGGGGAGACUGGAAUUUCUGGUGUAACGGUGGAAUGCACAGAUAUCAGGAAGAACACCGAUGGCGAAGGCAGGUCUCUGGGUAGUAACUGACGCUGAGGAGCGAAAGCAUGGGUAGCGAACAGG